rnacentral:snRNA from 1 species
AUCACUUCUUGGCCUUUUGGCUAAGAUGAAGUGUAACAUCUGUUCUUAUCAGUUGUAUACUUACAGCUGAUUCACGUGGUCAUACAGCAGACACCAA